UUGAAAGGCUAUAUUCUGUUUGCUUAAUGCCUUAAACCAGCUGAAGAAGAAACAGUAGAGUUUUUUUUUUCCACUGGCUGUGUGAAGACUGAAAUAUCCAUGACAUUAUGGCUGUUCAUGACAGUUUUUU
rnacentral:lncRNA from 12 species